ACCUGGGUGGCUCAGUCGGUUGAGCGUCCGACUUCGGCUCAGGUCGUGAUCUCACGGUUUGUGGGUUCGAGCCCCACGUCAGGCU
rnacentral:tRNA from 1 species